AGACCCGAAACCCGGUGAUCUAGCCAUGGGCAGGUUGAAGGUUGGGUAACACUAACUGGAGGACCGAACCGACUAAUGUUGAAAAAUUAGCGGAUGACCUGUGGCUGGGGGUGAAAGGCCAAUCAAACCGGGAGAUAGCUGGUUCUCCCCGAAAGCUAUUUAGGUAGCGCCUCGUGAAUUCAUCUCCGGGGGUAGAGCACUGUUUCGGCUAGGGGGCCAUCCCGGCUUACCAACCCGAUGCAAACUGCGAAUACCGGAGAAUGUUAUCACGGGAGACACACGGCGGGUGCUAACGUCCGUCGUGAAGAGGGAAACAACCCAGACCGCCAGCUAAGGUCCCAAAGUCAUGGUUAAGUGGGAAACGAUGUGGGAAGGCCCAGACAGCCAGGAUGUUGGCUUAGAAGCAGCCAUCAUUUAAAGAAAGCGUAAUAGCUCACUGGUCGAGUCGGCCUGCGCGGAAGAUGUAACGGGGCUAAACCAUGCACCGAAGCUGCGGCAGCGACACUGUGUGUUGUUGGGUAGGGGAGCGUUCUGUAAGCCUGUGAAGGUGUGUCGUGAGGCAUGCUGGAGGUAUCAGAAGUGCGAAUGCUGACAUAAGUAACGAUAAAGCGGGUGAAAAGCCCGCUCGCCGGAAGACCAAGGGUUCCUGUCCAACGUUAAUCGGGGCAGGGUGAGUCGACCCCUAAGGCGAGGCCGAAAGGCGUAGUCGAUGGGAAACGGGUUAAUAUUCCCGUACUUGGUGUUACUGCGAAGGGGGGACGGAGAAGGCUAUGUUGGCCGGGCGACGGUUGUCCCGGUUUAAGCGUGUAGGUGUGUGUUCCAGGUAAAUCCGGUUCACUUUAACACUGAGGCGUGACGACGAGGCACUACGGUGCUGAAGCAACAAAUGCCCUGCUUCCAGGAAAAGCCUCUAAGCAUCAGGUAACAUCAAAUCGUACCCCAAACCGACACAGGUGGUCAGGUAGAGAAUACCAAGGCGCUUGAGAGAACUCGGGUGAAGGAACUAGGCAAAAUGGUGCCGUAACUUCGGGAGAAGGCACGCUGACACGUAGGUGAAGUGAUUUACUCAUGGAGCUGAAGUCAGUCGAAGAUACCAGCUGGCUGCAACUGUUUAUUAAAAACACAGCACUGUGCAAACACGAAAGUGGACGUAUACGGUGUGACGCCUGCCCGGUGCCGGAAGGUUAAUUGAUGGGGUCAGCGCAAGCGAAGCUCCUGAUCGAAGCCCCGGUAAACGGCGGCCGUAACUAUAACGGUCCUAAGGUAGCGAAAUUCCUUGUCGGGUAAGUUCCGACCUGCACGAAUGGCGUAAUGAUGGCCAGGCUGUCUCCACCCGAGACUCAGUGAAAUUGAACUCGCUGUGAAGAUGCAGUGUACCCGCGGCAAGACGGAAAGACCCCGUGAACCUUUACUAUAGCUUGACACUGAACAUUGAGCCUUGAUGUGUAGGAUAGGUGGGAGGCUUUGAAGUGUGGACGCCAGUCUGCAUGGAGCCGACCUUGAAAUACCACCCUUUAAUGUUUGAUGUUCUAACGUGGACCCGUUACCCGGGUUGCGGACAGUGUCUGGUGGGUAGUUUGACUGGGGCGGUCUCCUCCUAAAGAGUAACGGAGGAGCACGAAGGUUGGCUAAUCCUGGUCGGACAUCAGGAGGU
rnacentral:rRNA from 2 species